GGUGCUGUGGCUUAGUUGGUUAAAGCGCCUGUCUUGUAAACAGGAGAUCCUGGGUCCGAAUCCCAGCAGCACCU